GACGAACGCUGGAGGCGUGCUUAACACAUGCAAGUCGAACGGUAAGGCCCUUCGGGGUACACGAGUGGCGAACGGGUGAGUAACACGUGGGUGAUCUGCCCUGCACUUCGGGAUAAGCCUGGGAAAAUGGGACUAAUACCGGACAGGACCCUGGAAUGCAUGUACUGGGGUGGAAAGCUAUUGCGAUGUGGGAUGGUCCGGCGGCCUAUCAGCUUGUUGGUGGGAUGAUGGCCUACCAAGGCGAAGACGGGUAGCGGGCCUGAGAGGGUGACCGGCCACACUGGGACUGAGAUACGGCCCAGACUCCUACGGGAGGCAGCAGUGGGGAAUAUUGCACAAUGGGCGCAUGCCUGAUGCAGCGACGCCGCGUGAGGGAUGACGGCCUUCGGGUUGUAAACCUCUUUCAGCACCGACGAAGCGCAAGUGACGGUAGGUGCAGAAGAAGGACCGGCCAACUACGUGCCAGCCGCCGCAGUAA
rnacentral:rRNA from 1 species